GUUGAGGGGAAUGUUGGCUGGCUCGAGGCUUUUCACAAAUAGAAGUUCAUAGUUUUGAAGAACUAUAGUAAGGCUUCGGACCAGGCUUCAUUCCCCUCAAA
rfam:Lupinus angustifolius cultivar Tanjil chromosome LG12, whole genome shotgun sequence.